rnacentral:rRNA from 1 species
AUUGAACGCUGGCGGCAGGCCUAACACAUGCAAGUCGAACGAGUGGCGGACGGGUGAGUAAUGUCUGGGAAACUGCCCUAUGGAGGGGGAUAACUACUGGAAACGGUAGCUAAUACCGCAUACCAUCGGAUGUGCCCAGAUGGGAUUAGCUAGUAGGUGGGGUAAAGGCUCACCAAGGCAACGGUCCCUAGCUGGUCUGAGAGGAUGACCGGCCACACUGGAACUGAGACACGGUCCAGACUCCUACGGGAGGCAGCAGUGGGGAAUAUUGCACAAUGGGCGAAAGCCUGAUGCAGCCAUGCCGCGUGUAUGAAGAAGGCCUUCGGGUUGUAAAGUACUUUCAGCGGGGAGGCGUUACCCGCAGAAGAAGCACCGGCUAACUCCGUGCCAGCAGCCGCGGUAAUUC